rnacentral:lncRNA from 1 species
GUUCCACUAACUGUGCACGUGCUUCACGUCAGACAACCCUCUGAGGAAGGGGUCAUAUUAUGAAUGGCCCCGUCCUGUACAAAAGAAAGCAGCCUUCCAGAGAGGAAGUAGCUUGCCAAAGGCCCCUGCUGUGACUUGUCCUCCAAAUUGUCAUGUGGUAAACCCUCAGUCCCAAGCUUGGAACUGGUGGAAGGCAGUGAAAACUUUUAAGAGGUGAGACCCAAAUGGGAGGUCUUAGGUCAUCGGGGAUAUGCCCUGGAAAGGGAUUUUGAGACCUGAGGCUUUCCUCUUUCUUUCUCUCUUUGAAUUCCUGGCCACCGUGAGGUGAGCAGUUUUCUCCACCAUGUCCUCUCACCACGAUGUGCUGCCUCUUCACAAGCCCAAAGCAACAGGACUAAUCAACCAUGAACUGGAACCUCCGAAGCCGUAAGCCAAAAUACACCUUUUCUCUUUAUAAGCUAAUUAUCUUAGGUGUUUUGCUAUAGCAACAGCAAGCUGACACAGCCACAUAGCUGACAAGAGGAAGAAAUGGGCUUUGAAUCGAGGACCCUGUGAACUGCAGAACAGCAUGGUGAAACACUCUGGCACCAAGCACAGGCUGAGUCAUCUGUAAGAAGCUAUGAUACUGAGAGGGGAAAACAAAUUCCCCUUAAAUUAACUAAAGAAGUUAAAAUGUGUGGGGAAACUUUCCCUUUCCUUCUAUAUAGCUGAUGGCGGGGCAGAGAUUUACAUGGGUAAAAGGCUUUUCUACCUUCUCUAGAGAUGUAAAUCUCCCCCUCCUGGAAUCUUCCAUCAGCUUGACAUGGGUGCCAAGAGGGCCAGAAGAUCUGGGAAUAGGCUUUGCCACUGCAGGCCAGGGUGGGGACACCCUGCAGCUCCCGUGGUCUCGGCCCCUCCCCCACUCCAGACGGCAGGAGCCAGGCAGCGGAGACCCGGGGUUGAUCUGGGAUCACCGAGUCCCCCUGCAUUCUGAAACUCUCUGAGCCUCUCUGUGAUAACCACAGACCCUCAAAUGUGACAAUGAUGGCCAAGGACAGCAGCCCCGAUGAACUAAGCAUCUAGUACUCAGCCCCCUCCAAAGGGUUCCAAACCCAGGAUUCUCCCCAAGGCCAGAACUGUGAGGAUUGGUACCAAAGGGAAGAAAACUAUAAUCUCUUUGCUCAAUCAUCUAGAUUUUUAGCUGGGACGGAUUCCUGUGAACAAAAGGCAGAUUAAUCAGAGAAAAACACAAGUGUGUCCACUGUGCUUGCAGCGUCCCAGAAGAGUCACUCUAGGAAAGCCACUCUUUCUCAAAGCAGUGGCUUGGGACUCUCUCUUAAAUACGAUUUUAACAUAGAGCGAUAAAUCUUCGAGUGAGAAGACAAAGGAACGAGAAGUUUCAGCCUUGAGAGG